AGGAAGGAGCCAACAUCAACAAAUCCCUAACCACGCUGGGAAAAGUCAUCUCCGCUUUGGCAGAAGUGGACUCUGGACCAAACAAGAACAAAAAGAAGAAGAAAGUGGAAAGUUUCAUUCCUUAUCGCGAUUCAGUUCUGACUUGGCUACUCCGAGAGAAUCUUGGCGGGAAUUCACGCACCGCCAUGGUGGCUGCGCUGAGCCCGGCGGACAUUAACUAUGAUGAAACACUCAGCACACUCAGGUAUGCCGACCGCGCCAAGCAAAUCCGCUGCAACGCAGUCAUCAACGAGGAUCCUAACAACCGGCUGGUGCGUGAGCUAAAGGAGGAGGUGUCUCGCCUGAAAGACCUGCUCUUUGCCCAAGGCCUGGGUGACAUCAUCGA